CAGUGUUGUCGUAGUAAGUGGAGGGGGCAGCUGAAGUGAAGGUGGAGGCGGCGGUGGAUGGUCUGCAGUCGCCACACAGCAGUUCAGUGAGCUAGCACACUUUUCUUUUUUUUUCUUUUUUUUUGAGUUUUUUGCUAAUUUGCAGAGAAACAUGGGAAGCACGGUGAUGGAGUCCAGCAAGGAGAGCUCGAAGAAGAAGAAGAAGAGAAGUCUGCGGAUUAACAUGCCAGACUUUGGUGCGUUUACUUCCCCGCAAGUGGAGACGAGUGGCUCGACCAAAAGUGGCACUCAGACGGGAGAGCGUCGCAUCCGUUCAGCCAGCCCCAUCAAAGGAGGGUCUGCGAGGAGCCCACCCAGUGCCCCUCUGCCCCUGUGUCCUCAGUCUGCUCCAGUACAAGUGAGGACCAGCUCUGGUUCACCCAGGACUAUCUUCCCCUAUCCCUCCUACCAGGACUCCCCACCCAAGUCCCCCCGCCGCCUAAGCUUCAGUGGUAUCUUCCGCUCCUCAUCCAGCUCCACACCUGCGAGCAUCAAAAUCUUCUCCAGAACCAGAAGAGCCUCUGGACUCUCCACACCACCCGCCACCCCAACCCAGGCAUCCAGCCAGCCUGUGUUCACCCAGGAGGCCCAGCCGAGCGGGCCCAGCCCUGAACGCCUGGAGCAGAGCCUCCGAUCCCGCUCGGUUUCCACACCUCCAGACACAGGACAGCGCCUCAGCCUUCCCUCUGCGAAACCCCCAAUCCCUUCCUCGAGCCCUGUGCCAUCUUACUCUACCUCACAUCAAGUCUACGGUUUAUUCGAAGGCAUGCUGGAGAAACUUGAACUAGAUGAUGAUGCUGCUGAACCUGAGAGUGAUAUUUACAUGCGCUUCAUGAAAUCCCACAAGUGCUACGACAUCAUCCCCACGAGCUCCAAGCUGGUUGUGUUCGACACAGCACUCCAAGUGAAGAAAGCAUUCUUUGCCUUGGUAGCCAACGGUGUGCGGGCUGCUCCACUAUGGGACACAGAGAAGCAAAGCUUUGUGGGAAUGCUGACAAUCACAGAUUUCAUCAUCAUACUACACAGAUACUAUAAGUCACCGAUGGUGCAAAUAUAUGAAUUGGAGGAACAUAAGCUUGAGACAUGGAGAGAGGUUUACCUUCAAGCAACAUUCAAACCUCUGGUCAACAUAUCACCUGAUGCAAGCCUUUUUGAUGCAGUGUACACCCUCAUCAAAAACAAAAUUCACCGCCUGCCUGUCAUCGACCCCGUCACGGGGAAUGCACUUUAUAUUCUCACACACAAGAGGAUCCUCAAGUUCCUCCAGCUUUUUAUGUGUGAAAUGCCAAAGCCAGCUUUCAUGAAGCAGACUCUCGGCGAGCUGGGCAUUGGCUCGUACCACGACAUCGCUUUCAUCCACCCGAACACGCCCAUCAUCAAAGCUCUCAACAUUUUUGUGGAGAGACGAGUGUCCGCCCUGCCUGUGGUGGACGAGUCAGGCAAAGUUGUGGAUAUUUACUCCAAGUUUGACGUGAUCAACUUGGCUGCUGAGAAGACGUACAACAACCUGGACAUCACAGUGACGCAGGCUCUGAAACAUCGCUCCCAGUACUUCGAAGGAGUCAUGAAGUGCCAUAAAAUGGAAACAAUGGAGACCAUUGUGGACAGAAUAGUCAAAGCUGAAGUGCAUCGGUUGGUGGUGGUGGAUGAGCGCUCCAGCAUCGAGGGCAUCGUCUCCCUCUCAGACAUCCUCCAGGCCCUGGUGCUCAGCCCUGCAGGUAUAGAUGCUCAGAAUCGCUAGCCCCAACUCCCCCUCUGUCCUGGACCCUGAGCUCUCUCCCCCACCCCGCCCUCUAACCCUGUCCCAGAUGCCUGUAAGGAGGAGAACCUGGCUGACUGAGAGGGAGGAAGCAUCAGCUGGAGUUGAGACGUGGUGGGAGUAAAUAAGUUUGAAUGUUGAGGUAGGGAGCGCGAGGCUGAGCAGCAGAGCCAGUCUGAAGGUCCCAGAGACGCCUGCAACUGAUGCACUAUAGAGGCUUGGAAACCAAAGAGCUAGACAGCUGAAUGAAGUGGAGUUCCUGCACUGAGGAUUGAUUUUCUGAGUGUUUUAUUUUUUGUUUGUUUUGAACACUGAUCAGAUGCACACACACAGAGUAUACUGUAUUUAUACACACGCAUAAUGAUCACCUGCCGGGGAGAGGUGGGGAAGUCGAGAAUGGUUCUGAUGAAUGAGGGUUUCGGGUUGUUUUGUUACGAUCAUGCUGCUGUCAUCAGUUGAUUUUUAUUCGCGUUAUGUAGUCGAUACUGGAUGUCAUCACCUCCGGGAAUACUUAUAUUUGGUGUAGAAAGGUGAACAUUCACAGAUGCAAGUUAUUGUUUAGUAGCAAAACUACACCUAUAAUGUGGCCAUUUUAUGACUGUUGUCGUUAAAAAACGUUCCCCAGUGCCAAUAUGGAGGGAUUGAUGCCUAAACUUUAUUUGUGCCUUUUGUUCGCCCUGCCCACACAACUUAAAACUGACAAUAUUUGAGUCCCUCGACUUUUUAUUGUCAAAUGAGUGCAAUUUUUUGACAUUUUUUAAACAGUUAAGAUAACAAUGUGUAAUAACUAGAUGGCAAAUCAAUCUUCUACUUGACAUUCAAAAAUAUUUUUCUUUAUUUGGUUACAUUUUCUGUAAUUUAAACCCAUGUCAGAAGUGUCAAGAAUUUCUGCUGAUUAAAUCUAAUUCUAAAAAGAUUAUCACAAAUAAAAUCACAAUCACUUUGGCACAAAGACGCACAGUGGUCAGAGGCAAAUACACCUGUACAACAACAAGGAUUCUGUCAGCCAAGAGCUAUGAUUGAGUACUCGGUAGUCAUUGUGAGUUAAAGAUGCAUUUUUGUUACGGUAUUACAAGACCGAAUUUUUUUUUUCUACAUUCACUUUCAGAUGUUUUGAGGCUUAGGAUAAUCCGCGAACAUGCAAAUCAACUGGGUUGUCUCAGCUGUAGCUCGACAGGACUCAUCUCCAUCUAUGACUGUAAAUAAGAUUGUUUUCGGGAAACGUGUCACAUAAAGCUUUAUUUUUAUGAAUGUGUCAACAUGUUUAAAGAUACUGCAGUUUUAAUGUUAUUUUUGUAAAUAUAUUGUGGCAAUAUGUUCGGUUCAAAGAGACUUUGUAUCAGAUCAACAUGUACUGUAAAUGUGCAAGCAUGAGAAACUACACUUCAGCAGUAUGAAUGUCCUUUGUUUUACUUUUUCUAUUUUUCUGGCUGCAGAAAAAUAAAUGGACACUGAAUGUACUUUACAGCGGUGACUUCAGUUUGUUUUAACUGGUCUAAAGAUGUGUUUUUAUUAUUUGAUGUAUCUUUGAUGUGAUAUUUGUGUGAAUUUACACAUAACUCUGUUCUUUAGUGGGUUUGGUGAACUCGGCGCCCGCUUAGGGAAGCAGAAGCUUGAUAUUUCAACCAUUUAUUAAUGACUUUUAAACAUCUUUCUUGA